GACGAACGCUGGCGGCGUGCCUAAUACAUGCAAGUAGAACGCAGUUGCGAACGGGUGAGUAACGCGUAGGUAACUGCCUCAUAGCGGGGGAUAACUAUUUGAAACGAUAGCUAAUACCUCAUACUGUGAGAUGGACCUGCGUUGUAUUAGCUAGUUGGUGAGGUAAAGGAUCACCAAGGCGACGAUACAUAGCCGACCUGAGAGGGUGGUCGGCCACGCUAGGACUGGGACGCGGACCAGACUCCUACGGAAGGCAGCAGUAGGGAAACUUCGGCCAUGGACGGAAAUCUGACCGGGCAACGCCGCGUGAGUGGGGAGGGUUUUCGGGUCGUAAAGCUCUGUUGUUAGAGAAGCGGUAACUAAAAAGAAAGGGACGGCUAACUACGUGCCAGCAGCCGCGGUAAUAC
rnacentral:rRNA from 1 species